rnacentral:misc_RNA from 1 species
UACGGAGGGGGCUAGCGUUGUUCGGAAUUACUGGGCGUAAAGGGCGCGUAGGCGGACAUUUAAGUCAGGGGUGAAAUCCCAGAGCUCAACUCUGGAACUGCCUUUGAUACUGGAUGUCUUGAGUGUGAGAGAGGUAUGUGGAACUCCGAGUGUAGAGGUGAAAUUCGUAGAUAUUCGGAAGAACACCAGUGGCGAAGGCGACAUACUGGCUCAUUACUGACGCUGAGGCGCGAAAGCGUGGGGAGCGAACAGG